GUGAUCCGGUGGUUCUGUAUGGAAGGGCCAUCGCUCAACGGAUAAAAGGUACUCUGGGGAUAACAGGCUGAUACCGCCCAAGAGUUCAUAUCGACGGCGGUGUUUGGCACCUCGAUGUCGGCUCAUCUCAUCCUGGGGCUGAAGCAGGUCCCAAGGGUAUGGCUGUUCGCCAUUUAAAGAGGUACGCGAGCUGGGUUUAGAACGUCGUGAGACAGUUCGGUCCCUAUCUACCGUGGGCGCUGGAAAUUUGAGAGGAUCUGCUCCUAGUACGAGAGGACCAGAGUGGACGAACCUCUGGUGUACCGGUUGUGACGCCAGUCGCAUCGCCGGGUAGCUAUGUUCGGAAGGGAUAACCGCUGAAAGCAUCUAAGCGGGAAGCCUACCUCAAGAUAAGAUUUCCCUAGGACUUUAUGUCCUCUAAAGAGCCGUUCGAGACUAGGACGUUGAUAGGUUGGAUGUGGAAGCAUAGUGAUAUGUGAAGCUGACCAAUACUAAUUGCUCGUGAGGCUUGACUAU
rnacentral:rRNA from 1 species